GCCAAAGUAGCUCAGUUGGGAGAGCAUUAGACUAAAAAUCUUAAAGGUCCCUGGUUCUACUCCCAGGCUUUGGCA